rnacentral:rRNA from 1 species
GGCCGCGGGAAUUCGAUUCCUCGGGCCUGCAGUGGGUACGGGCAGACUGGAGUGCGGUAGGGGAGAAUGGAAUUCUGGUGUAGCGGUGGAAUGCGCAGAUAUCAGGAGGAACACUGGUGGCGAAGGCGGUUCUCUGGGCAUUACCUGACGCUGAGGAGCGAAAGUGUGGGGAGCGAAUAGGAUUAGAUACCCUGGUAGUCCACACCGUAAACGUUGGGCGCUAGGUGUGGGACACAUUCCACGUGUUCCGUGCCGCAGCUAACGCAUUAAGCGCCCCGCCUGGGAGUACGGCCGCAAGGCUAAAACUCAAAGGAAUUGACGGAAUCACUAGUGAAUUC